rnacentral:rRNA from 1 species
UACGAAGGGGGCUAGCGUUGCUCGGAAUCACUGGGCGUAAAGCGCACGUAGGCGGAUUGUUAAGUCAGGGGUGAAAUCCUGGAGCUCAACUCCAGAACUGCCUUUGAUACUGGCGAUCUCGAGUCCGGGAGAGGUGAGUGGAACUGCGAGUGUAGAGGUGAAAUUCGUAGAUAUUCGCAAGAACACCAGUGGCGAAGGCGGACUCACUGGCCCGGUACUGACGCUGAGGUGCGAAAGCGAUGGGGAGCAAACUAGGGGAAUUAA